CAACCUGAGCUCAGAUGUGAUUACCCGCUGAACUUAAGCAUAUCAUUUAGCGGAGGAAAAGAAACUAACUAGGAUUCCCAUAGUAACGGCGAGUGAACUGGGAAAAGCCCAGCGCUAAAUCUUUCGAUGUUACAUCGUAAAGAAAUGUAGCGUAUAGGUGUAGUUGUCGGUUUGUUUGGCAUACCCAAAGUUCCUUUGAUAGGGGCCAUAUUCCAGAGAGGGUGCGAGACCUGUGCGGAUAGCGGAACAUGCCGUAUGAUUAUACCUUGGAGUCGGGUUGCUUGAAAGUGCAGCCUUAAGUGGGUGAUAAACUUCAUCUAAGGCUAAAUACGGACGCGAAUUCGAUAGCAAACAAGUACUGUGAAGGAAAGUUGCAAAGAACUUUGAAGAGAGAGUUCAAGAGAACGUGAAAUCGUUGAAGUGGAACCGGAGAGAGUUGACGUAGUAUGGUGGAUAAGUAUUGCAAGAAUCGCUUCAAACAAUGAAUGUGAUCGAGUAAUAUGUACGUCACCAAAGACUGCGCUGACAGCAUCGACUACACGCUCUGAACUGUGUUGACAUGUUGCCUAUUCUAGUAUAUAGAAUGGUGUCUUGUGUUACGUGGUGAAGUUUGUUGUUAUGUUGUUGAUGUUGAUAAUUAUGAUUAUACACCAAGUAUAAUUAUGUCAGUGUAAAAGUCAACCACCUCUCC
rnacentral:rRNA from 1 species